rnacentral:misc_RNA from 1 species
GGAAGGCCUCCAUGAACAUGGAAGAAAUUUAAUCUAUUAUUAGUUUUUUAAUUUAUAUAAAAUAUAGCUGAUAAUGGCUAGAAGUUCUACUUACUAUUGUUUUGUAUCAGAGCAACUAUAGUGCACCAAAAUGGGGUGAAUCCCACGUAAUAAUUACAAUGCUGACAGAUUUCCAGCGUAUCAAACUUUAGGUUCCUGGGAGCUGGGGUUUACUGCCUUGCAGUUUUAACAGCAAUGCCAAAUAGACACAAUAUUUCAUCUAUGCAAGAAAUGCUUUACUGGCAAAGAAUUCCCUGGUGCUCUGAAAACUUCUUGAAAUUGGUUCUUCCCUUCAUCAUAGAGGCAUUUUUGGAAGUAACGAGCAUUGACGUAUAAAAUGUGUGCUUCUAGUUAAUGGAAGAUAAAUUGAAUUAGAGUGUGCAUGGAGGUUUGUAGGAGUUAAAAGUGAGAAGCUCAACUUGGCAAUCAAUAAUGAGGCAGGAAUGAAAAAUUUAAGGAGCAAGCAUUAUGGUACAAAUUACAAAAGGCUACCUUCAAAGUAUCUGGCUCUUGAGAGUUGAUUUGACAUUUACCUGCAAUUGUUUCCAGGAUGAAUGUGAAUUACUAGUCAAUGGAUAUUUCAUGCUGCUGUGGUUGUAUUUCAACACAUUUCAGAAUUCUUGCACUAUGUGCACAUAUUUUUUUUGUAGGGAGACAUGCCAAGAAGGGUUUGUUCUAACAAUCCUAUUUGAAGAAUGACUUGUGAUUCUGGUGGUAGAGCAUCAUGUGAUUAUUAUUAUUAAUAUACCUGUUUCUGUUCUUAUCUUGGUGGAGGAAGGCGGUUUCCAAGAGAUCUCUUUAAAUGUGU